rnacentral:rRNA from 1 species
CCUACGGGUGGCAGCAGUGGGGAAUAUUGGACAAUGGGGGCAACCCUGAUCCAGCCAUGCCGCGUGUGUGAAGAAGGCCCUCGGGUUGUAAAGCACUUUGAGUGAGGAAGAACGCCUGGUGGUUAAUACCCAUCAGGAAAGACAUCACUCACAGAAGAAGCACCGGCUAACUCCGUGCCAGCAGCCGCGGUAAUACGGAGGGUGCGAGCGUUAAUCGGAAUUACUGGGCGUAAAGCGCGCGUAGGUGGCUUGAUAAGCCGGUUGUGAAAGCCCCGGGCUCAACCUGGGAACGGCAUCCGGAACUGUCAAGCUGGAGUGCAGGAGAGGAAGGUAGAAUUCCCGGUGUAGCGGUGAAAUGCGUAGAGAUCGGGAGGAAUACCAGUGGCGAAGGCGGCCUUCUGGACUGACACUGACACUGAGGUGCGAAAGCGUGGGUAGCAAACAGGAUUAGAUACCCCAGUAGUC